ensembl:lncRNA
AAAGCUUAAGCUAGUAUAUAAAGUAUAAUCCCUAAAGUUGGAAUUAGUAUUUUAUUUACUUGUGUAACAUAUUUCCUCCAAUUUUCAAUGCAUUUAAUGAUUUAAAUGCCAUAAUACGUUCUAUUUUUGCAUAAUAUAUUAGUAUUCAAAACCACCUCUUUACUCAGUGAAAUUUUUGAUAGAUGAGCUACAUUCUGAAUAAUUUACUAUCUAGCUGAAAAGAUGUGAAAUAACACCUUUGUGCUUUGAUUUAACUGAUUGUUUAUUCACUUGCACCAACCAAACCAAAGGCUCAUUUCUCUUGGCACCUCGAGAUUAUGGAAACAUCAAUAAGAACUUGGGAACAUUUUCUUCUGUUCUGCUAAAUGACCCUAUGUUAUUAUUACUUUAGACUUGUUUUACACCAAUCACUAAAACAGCCUGGCAACUAUUCUAAAGAAACACCUUAACUCACUCAGCAUGGAUUAAGUAAAAAUGGCUUUAAGUCUGUUUAAAAGCAAAUUAUUUAUAAAAUAAAAGUGUGAGAAAUAUUAUAAAUACAUAAAGGAAAUGGCAACAAAGUGAAGGUGAAUUUAGCCCCAUUAAAUUCUAUUAAUUUUUGUGUGCUUAAUCUAAGUCAAAGAUGAAUCCAAUAAAAUGCCAUUUCUGGUGGUGACAAAAUCAAUGCAACUCUACAUUAGUGUUCAGUGGGUGGGUGUCAAUAUAACUUUUCCUGGGGAGAAAAAAAAUUAAGCUUCUUUUAAAAAUAGCUGAGACCACAACUGCUAUGACAAUUUUGCUUCAUACCUUUUCUGUGUAGCAAUUAUGCUCAUAAUCAAUAGACAAAAUGGAGUGUUAUGGGACGCAAACACUGUUGAGGAGUCUAUUAUCCCAGGUGCUACGAAAAGACAGAAAAAAAGGAAAACCUCUAACAGGAAAUAAAAAUUGAAGUUUAUGCAAUUAUCUUUUUUUUCCUCAAAGAGGAUUUCUCAAAUUUCUUUUGUUCACCCUUUUUUUAAUCUUUUGCCAAACUCAAGGAUAGUUUAGCAACUAUUAGCAGAUCUUCAAAAGAGGCUUUUAUGUUCAUCUUAAUGUGACAGAAAUGAUAUUUCAUAAUAUUGUUCCUCAUUAUAAUUCCAUGCUUUAAUAUUAUGAUAAGCUCUAAAGAAUAAGAGCUUUCUUUUAUUGUUGUUGUUGUUUUGAGGUUUUAGUACAUUGGAAACUGAAUGUAGCAGAGAAAUCUAAUAGUAUUAAAUCUAUUUGUAAAUAGUCUUAUUUGUUUCCUUUUUUACACUAUAUUUCACAAUACUCAACAGAGUCUCAAUCACCUACCUGAGUUUCCACUGGAAUCCAUAUUGUCUUUCCACUCGUGUUCACAUAGCAAUCUGUACAAAUAACACUAGCUAUCAUUAAUGUGACACAUACAACACACACACAUACUUACCUUUAAUGUAUAGUUGUGUGAUGUGUGUAUAUAUUGUGUGUCCUUACAAAGUACUGAGUUUCUUAAGGAUAUGAUGGUGUCUUGUGAAACAUUUUAUACCCAUUUUGCCCAGUUAAAUUUGCUACAUGUAGCUUAAUAAAAUAAUUGUUAUGAUUGUUUGCUGAGUCAAAGGAAUCAUAGGAGAUACUGACUAAAUUAUAACAAUGUGUGAGUAUAUUUUGGAGGAUCUUGAAUAGCAAAAUGAAUGAUUUGGAUCUGAGGCCAUAGAUUAUAGGGACUCAUUUUAGGCUAGUUUGAAGAAGAGUAGCUUGGAGAAAUAGCAUUUUAUACAGAUUAACCUGGACAGGGGUACAGAAAUUCAGAAAGAGGAUAUUCUAGGGGAUAGCUAAACUAAAGGACAUUAGUAAUGACAUGGAGAAUUUUCUGGCAAACACUUGACCAAAACAGCUAUAUAAUUAUUAUGCUUUUUAUCUAGCAAUCAAAAUUCAGUUCAGUUAUCUUGUGUGUUAAGGUCACAUAAAAUGAUAGAUUUUCUAUACCUGGAGGGGCUUUCUAUUUUUUGUUUUGUUUUGUUCGUUUUUAAUAGCAAGUCAUUUAGUAUAAACUCAUAUUGAGAUUUAUAGUUCCACUUUGUAAAUUAAUACUCUUUUACUUCUAUAAGACUUUGUUUUGUUUGGAUGGCCUAUGACUUCACAUUUAAUAAAUACCGAUGACUAAAUAUCUGUGUUUAUAAACAGAUAGAAAAUAAACUUUAGUUAGAAAGAAAUUCAGGGAGUUCCUGUUGUGGCUCAAUGGGUUAAAAACCUGACAUAGUGUCCAUAAGGACGUGAGUUCAAUCCCUGGCCUUGCUCAGUGGAAUAAGGAUAUGGCAACCUGCGCCUGCAGCAUGAGUUGAAGAUGUGGUUCAUAUCUGGUGUUGCUGUGGCUGUGGCAUAGGAUGGAAAGCUGGAUCUCCAAUGCAAACCCUAGCCUGGAACUUCCCUAUGCUUCAGGGGCAGCCAUAAAUUAAAAAAAAAAAAGAAAAUAAAGAAACUGAGUUAACUGGUUUGAUAACUAAGAUAUGUUUCUGGAUAACUAGAUAACUGAAUCUUCUUAUUUAAAAGCUUGGAAACCUGUAUUUUCUUACAGAAAUAAAAGAAGCUUUUAUUCACCAAAGACAAUGCUAACUUAUUUCACUCUUCCUUCAAUGAAUUAGAAGAACUCUAAGUCUGAAUUAUGGUCAACACUUUCAUUUAAGAUUCUCUGAGAAAUCCAACAAACUUGAAACUUCAUUGACUCUCUAGAAUCAAUACUCAGUGAUCCCAGACAGGAGCAACCAAAUUAUUUCACUUGAGCCGAACCCAUUUAAUGGUAGGUAGAAUUGAUUUUCAACCUGAGUCUCUUUUAGCUUAACCAGUAUGGAUUAAUUGCUUUAGCAAUUUUAUCAAAAGACAGGCCAUUUGAGUCAAUCUACUUGUUUUCAUAAAUUGCUUUGUGAUUACAAAAAUUAGUUUUGUUCAACUAUACCUAUCAUACUUAUUUUUUUUCAUUUAAGCUUUAAAAUAAAGAAAUGCUUUUGGAGUAUCGUAAGUUCUAUUUUUGUAUUAUUAUACAUUACACAUUAGGAUGCCUAUAUCAACAUAACAAAAUAAAUUUUAAAAAAAAUUUUUGCAUUUAUUUUAUGCCAAUUAAGAAAGCACUUAUUUUGGGGUAUAAAGAAAAGAAAAAUACCCUUGGAUUAAAAAUUUUACUUUUUAAUUCUAUAAAAUCAGAUUGCUCUCCUGAACACAUACACGAGGAAAACAGCUUUCAGUAUCUUACUAAAGUAUAACCUGACAGCUAAGAGUUACCAAAAAAUACUAUAGAAUACACCAUAAGCAGAUAUUAAACGUGUUUGUUCAUGCUGCUAAUGUUAAUUGAAGACAGAUCAUAUCUCAAACAAGAGGAGAAAUAGGGAGUGCAUCUAGUUUGCCUGAUACAGAAAAAAGCAGAUGUGAGUUGAUUACAUAACAGGACCAUUUGAAAUGGCUGCUAUUUGACCCAUUUUUGAUUGAGUUUUAGGUGCAAUAUGCAUCACUGAAUUUUUUUUUUUCUGUUCCUCCAGCUUCUUCCCUGAUCUCCUGCCUAUUCACUGAUUACUAUAGCAACCCAGAGUGUAAUCAAGAAGGGUUACUAGACUGGAUGUGUGUACAUGUAUAGAACUGAAUCACUUUGUUGUACAGCAGAAAUUAUCACAACACUGUAUAUCAAUUAUACUUCAAUAAAACUUUUAAAAAUGUAGAAAAAAAAGAGAUGGGUUAUCACUGAUUUCCUUCAUUUUAAGUGAUUACUAAGCGUCAAGCACUGUUAGGUGAUUUAUAUAUAACUGAAAACAAAAACAGAAACGAUUUCUUCUUGAAUGGAUUACAUAUUUUAUUGGGAUAUAUGUAUCCCAUGUUCUAUCUAAAUGAUAUGUAACUGUUGCCUAAAGAGACGGUGUCCUUUCCCACAUCUUUACUUAAACCUUUCUUUCUACCGCCAAAAUACCCUCACUCUUAUCUCUUCCUGCUCUUAUACUAUCGGUAUCGACAGGAAAAAUUAAGCACUUCACUUACUGUGAAACAUUCUUUGAUACUCUAGCCAUAAAUGAUCUUAACUUUUCUGGAGAAGAGAGAAAAAGGAAGAAGUAACAUAUGUAUUGAAUGCUAUUAUGUGCCAGAAAUUAUACGAAAUGACCUACACAUAUAAUUUCACUUAAUUUUUACCACCUCAUUAUCCCCACUUUUCUGAUCAGAAGUAACCUGUCUAGGAGUAUAUAACUGGAAUCAAAGCUAGGAUUCAGACUCCAAUCUGUUUUUUUAUCUGCCAAAGCUACCUAUCUGAAAUGCUACAGUACUCACUCAUGUUUGUGCCUUUUUUUAAUGCCAUGUACCAUAUGUACCUUAUAUUACAGGAAAUUAAAUUCUUCUCACUCUACUUCAAGUAAAUAAAUGCUAAUAAAUACUUACUUUAAAAAGGACUAAAUGGGUUACCGUGCUUGACACCCAGUUAUAAUUUGUACUGAAUUCUCAAAAAGAAACUUAAGAAAAUUAAUUCAUUCCUUCUUUUACUUAUUGUCAAAGUAAUAUGUCUGAAAUAAAAUUUUGGUCAAAUGCCUGAUCUGGUUUGGUGACUAAUAUGAUUUAUGGAAUA